rnacentral:lncRNA from 1 species
UCUGGAUUUUAACACAUUUACCAUGUAGGGCAAUGAGGUCAGCUCAUAGGCAGGCAGUGCAUAGGUUCUGGUAAUGACCUCAGGGAUACCAGUGAGGGGGUCUUCUAGUGACAGGUCACACCCUGAGAAGGAGGAUGGAGUUAAGGAGACGGCCAGACCCGGUGGUCCAUUCUGUGGAGAGGCAGCCUCCAGCCGCACUGGCACUGAACAGACACAGGACCCUGUGUUUAGGUACCUGGCCUGUGAGCACGUCUUUCCAAAACACUUCUGGCAGCUGGUGACGUCCGAAUCUGCUGGUAAAUAUGGUUUCUUGGCCAUAGGCUUAUUUUCUUUUUCUUUUGAAGUUUUUAUUUUUUCUAUUUUUUUAAAGUUUUAUUGAAGUGUAAUUGAUUUGCAAUGUUGUGAUCAUUUCUGCUGUAAAACAAAGGGAUUUAGUUAUACAAUACACUUACCCAUUCUUUUUCAGAUCUUUUUUUCCUCUGUAGGUUAUCACAGAAUAUUGGGUAGAGUUACCUGGGUACAGGCUUAUUUUCUACCUGGUCCACUUGCUGCCAUGUCUUUCUUCUCAUAGCAACUCUGGGUCUCUGAUGGGGGGUCAGCUGCAGAUCUCCAGUAUCCUGACUUGUCCUUUUACUUUCCCAGGAGAAGUCCUUUGUCCAACUUCUUUUACCAUCUCCACCCAGUUCUCCUCUGCUUAUUAUACUUCCCCUUCUAGUCUUACCCCACCCCACAUGGUCCCAGGUCAGCCCUAACAGUUAACCUGUUAGGAAACCUCCUUUGCAGCACCUGCUCAACCAGGGGUGCCUGGAAAAUACUUCCACAAGCCCACAUGGUGUUUGAGCUCCCACUACGUGCCAACAGAGGGCGGGCUACCGGGACCUCCCUCAGAUCUGUUUCUGUGCAGAAGUUGAGACUGAAGGGAGGGCACGUGAUUUAAUAAUUAGAGGGGAGGAAGCCUCACAUAAAAUAGAGAUGCGGUAUAGGCUGUAUCUGUGACCUGAAGGAAAUGCCCCAGGUGGGUUCUUCUACUUGAUCUGCAAAUGCCAACCUGUGGUUUCUAUGAGGCACGGGCUGUGCUGGGCAUCUGGGAUAGGAAAGCUGUAGAGUCACUGCCUUUGAAACACCUGCCAUUCGGCAGAGGACAAAGCAGGUGCCUGCAGCUCUGGCUCCUCUGUUCCACUUCCUACGAAGCAGGAGAAAGGCCUUUACCUUGGCCCUUAUCUUAUUUUACUCCUGUUCUAGAGAAGAGGCUUCGUGCCUAUGUGUCCUAACACAUGAUCCCAGUUCUGUAAUCAAAAAUACAUUAGCAUCCAUUGUGGACGUACAGAUCUUGAGCCCUAGAAAUACUAAAGUAUUGAAUCAAGGUCACACAGCUAGCCAGAUGUGGAGCUGGGAUUGGAAUCCAGGUCUUUCUGCUUCUUUUGAGAUGCUCCUUUGGUGACAGGUAAGGAUGGUGGGGUGGGGUCCUGGCUCAUGUGGAGGCAGAGAGAAGGGCUGGGGAAGAUGCAAGACAGUGAGAGCUGCCUGGAUAGGAGGUGUUAGGGGUGUGAAUCAGGACAAUGUCUGUGAAGGGGUGAAAGGGAGCCAAGAGGGAUGUGGGAUGUGUGAUUAUGAGCCUUCUGCAGAAGCUAACCUGACCCAAGCAGAGGGCUGGGUGUUGAGGGUGCAUAGAUGAACAGCCUCAGCCAGCUCACUGUCCAGUGGGUUGGGAAACUGGAGCUUUCACCCACAGGACUGCAUCACUGACAGGCCAUUGGAGGAGAGGGUGAACUCCAAGAAGGCUGCCUGGAGGAGGCAAGCCUGAGCUGAUCCCUGAAAAGUCAAGGCGGUGGUAAGAGGAACCACAGGAAACUGAUAGCUAAAUGUUCUUUCCAGGAAAAGCAAAAACGGAGUGAAGAGGAGGUGACAGAGGAUGGAACACCACAGUUUCUGUUUUAUAAAGUUCUUUCUGGGGGCAUGUAGACCCAUCCCUCUCCACAAGCAGGCUCUAGCCCUCUUCUCCAGGUUUGUCCAUCAGGCCUGACCUCUGGCUUCUUGCCUUGGUGCUCUUUGCUUCCUCUCCUUGUUGAGGAGGGUCAGCUCCCUCCCCAUGAACUUCCUGUGAGGUCAGUUUUGACCAGAUGAGGACCAGAGAAACACACUGGGAGACUGAAGGGUCUGAUCUGGAUUGAACUAGAGAGGACCAUAAGGCUAUCAUCUGGCAGAAGGAAACAUAGGGUCGGCACAGAGGCCACACAAGGCUGGGAGAAAGAUUUGCCUUCAUCAGAGUCCUCUGUCACAAGAUGUAUGGUAACUGUCAUGAACUCUAGGCUCAUUUGACCAAGAAUAGUGAUAUUCUUGGCCCAGAGUAAGGGAAACCAUGGAACAAGAUGCUUGCCACCCACUGCUGUUGUCUGGGACCAAGUGGAAGUUCAGAGUCUCCAGGACCUUGCUGAGCUGGGGGCUCACUCAUUAGCAAGGACUUGGGCAGUAUUCUGGGACAAGCUACUUGAUGAGACAUGGCAUCCUAUAGAACUGUGGCCCUUUCUGGUUUUCUUUUCUUUCUUUUUUUUUUUUUUUUUUUUCCUUUCUUGCAAAUAACCCCCUGACUUUAUUAUAAAUAGACUGCAACUUCCCAGCAAAGGCAGGUAACAGACAGUGUCCAGACAGAAGCUCAGGCCUAGGCCACCCGGCACACAGAGCUCCCCAUGCAGCCGGGUGCAGGGUGCUUCUGAGGCAGCCCUGGCAUCCUGGGCAGACAGGUUUAAUGGCCAAAGCCUGGGCAUAGUGCACUGAUCUCACUCCAUAGCAGCCCGACACAGCCCCCCAGGCCGUGGCCAUGGCCCAGUGUGCCAUCCUGUGUAUGUCCUUUUGCUGUACCUUGUUUCUGGGGUGUGUGGAAAAACCACCCCUUACCUUUCCAGUGGGAGCUCACAUAUAUUUGAAGAACUAAUUGACUGUAGCUGCUUGAUGCCAAGUAUACUUUUAUACCCUUGUCCACCUUUGGGGAUGAAGCAGACUCCCGCUUUGAGUGAUUAGUCUGGGUGAUGAGGAUUUCAUAUGGGUGUUAGGGGAGACUAGAGCCCUGGAACAGCUGCUGAAGUGUAAAGGGAAAGGCUGUGCUCAGGGCAGGUUCUGGAUUUGACCCCAGGCUCUUCACGAAACCCACUUUCCCCUGUGGUUUGUCUUCUACAGAAGGACCCACCUUACUGCCUGUUAACCAUGAAUCCACUUUUUUUUCCUUUCUAUUUUGGUUGUAAAUGAUUUAUUGGUUGAGAUAGAAAUCAUUUCCUAAUUUUCCAGGGAAAACAGUCGCCUUCAUUUUCACUGAUUGAGGCAUAAUUAUGUGUUCACAUGUCAUCAAGUUCACACUUGCAUGCUCAGUGGCCUCUUGGGACUGGGGAACUGAGGUCUGAGAGGAGCGGAUGGAGUGCCCGCUGGGAGGAGGACAACAUGCGUCCUGGGAGCAGAAGAUGCUGGUCAGUUUUGACUUGACACAACCCUCCAUCUCUGCACCACUGGGGGAAAGGGAGCCCCUUCCUGUCCUGCCCAUGCCUCCUGUUCCCACCAUGGACACCUCUUCUCACCUUGACUGGGGAUGCCCAUCUGGCUCCUGGAUGUCUCGCCUGGUGUUUGACUCUGACCCACUGGCCAGCUAUGGAGUUUUCCUACUUGCCUUUCUCUGUAUAGGACACAGAAUUAGCCUUAAAAAUAAUCCCAGAACAAGGUUUUCUACACAACGUUCAAAACUCGUCUUGUCAAACACAUGUUGCUGAGAUUUCGCUGUGAGCCUGACCCCAUGUCCCCAAGGCUGCUAAACUCCAUCUCUCCAAACAGCUGUGUCCAGUUGUCUCUGUGUUCACGACAACCACUCCAAGAGGCCUUGGAAAGAAGGGAACAGCUCCACAGGCCUUGGGGUUGUUUACUGAUCAUUUUCAAGUUUAAGUUUCAGGUCUGACUUUGGAUGGCCAGGGGUCCUAGAGGUCUAUGGGCUUCCAAACAUAGGUUACACAUGGAGAAACAGAGCAGUCAAAAUUCCACAUGCUUUUGCUAGAGAAAGUCAAACAUCUGGAUAUUUAAAAAGCAAGAUUUUUAAUGGAGCUUUUCAGUUUUCUCAUGGAUAUUUGGCCAUAUGUAGCUGCAAAUGUGAAUCAAAGUCUAGAAAUAAUCUGUGGAUUUGCACUGCAAGUUCAGUGGGCACUGAAGUGGAACUGUCAAAAUGAAGGGUCCACACUAGCCCAAGUUAAUGUCUUGGUUUUGUGUUAUUUUGAGCUGAUGACAGCACGUGUGUAUUAUAUUAUAGCAAUCUGCCAUGGCAUUAGUAGUUCUGGUGUGUGAUAAAUGCAAUAGAUCCCAAAGGAAGUCCACACAGAGGUUAACUCCAUCCAAACAAGUUAUAUAUAGCGUUCCUCUCGCUAAACUCCAGCAAGUCACUUUCUGUGUUCAAAUAACACUACACUGGAGCAAUAUUUUGGUAUAAAUUUUGUCCAAGUGAUGAGUGUUUCCAGGGCAGGAUUUCAUGUUCCCCUGGAUAAUAUGUCCUGUGAUGCUGAGGGUAAUUAGGAGUGAAUGCACAGCAAGCCCAUCUCUGGGGAGGUCCCUAGGAGAUUAUUACAUCGAAGCUGUGGAAUGGAUGAGCCUAACGGGACUGGAGCUGAGAGUCAAUUGUGGAUCAUUUCCAAGGCAGAAAGACUAUAGAGUGAUCCAUGGCCGAGAACACACACUGAUUCCCUCAGCGUUCAUGGCCAUGUGGCCACUGGGCUCAGUGCCACUUGCUGAGAAAAGGAAGAUGAAUAUAUUAGAGAGCUUGGGGUAGUGUGGGAAAUCCAAAGCAUCUAGACAAGGCUGAGGAGGAAAGCGCUGGAUCAUAAGCCCUCCUCUGCUCUGCGCUUGCUCCGCCACCUGGUAUUUGUCUAAGGUCCACCUGAGCAUCUCCACAGCAGGUGCUGUGCAACACAUCCCUGGGACGGCGCCCUCCGUGCACCUCCCUUGUGAUUACAGCUUCCAUCUGCUCUAUUUGCGUGGGCAGAAGAGGACAUUUGGUAAACCAAAAAAUCUCUGGUUGGAGCCAUUCUUUAAGGAUCCUGGACUGAAAGGAUCCUAAGUGAAAUGGGAGUCAGAAAAUCAAGUAGUCUUGGAAGUUCCCACUGUGGCUCAGUGGCCACAAGCCCAACUAGUAUCCAUGAAGAUGUGGGUUUGAUCCCUGAUCUCGCUCAGUUAAGGAUCCAGUGUUGCUGUGGCUGUGGCUGCAGUGUAGGCUGGCAGCUGUAGCUCCAAUUUGACCCCUAGCCUGGGAACUUCAUAUACCUUGGGUACAGCCCUAAAAAGC